rnacentral:rRNA from 1 species
UACGGGGGGAGCAAGCGUUGUUCGGAUUUACUGGGCGUAAAGGGCGCGUAGGCGGCCACCGCAAGUCGACUGUGAAAUCUCCGGGCUUAACUCGGAAAGGUCAGCCGAUACUGCGGGGCUAGAGUGCAGAAGGGGCAACUGGAAUUCUCGGUGUAGCGGUGAAAUGCGUAGAUAUCGAGAGGAACACCUGCGGCGAAGGCGGGUUGCUGGGCUGACACUGACGCUGAGGCGCGAAAGCUAGGGGAGCAAACAGG